rnacentral:rRNA from 1 species
UGCCAGACUCCUACGGGAGGCAGCAGUGGGGAAUAUUGGGCAAUGGGCGCAAGCCUGACCCAGCAACGCCGCGUGAAGGAUGAAGGUUUUCGGAUUGUAAACUUCUGUCGCGAGGGACGAAGAAUGACGGUACCUGAGUAAGAAGCCCCGGCUAACUACGUGCCAGCAGCCGCGGUAAUACGUAGGGGGCAAGCGUUAUCCGGAUUUACUGGGUGUAAAGGGAGCGCAGACGGCAGUGCGAGUCUGGAGUGAAAGCCCGUGGCUUAACCACGGGACUGCUCUGGAAACUGUGCAGCUAGAGUGCAGGAGAGGCAGGCGGAAUUCCUAGUGUAGCGGUGAAAUGCGUAGAUAUUAGGAGGAACACCGGUGGCGAAGGCGGCCUGCUGGACUGUAACUGACGUUGAGGCUCGAAAGCGUGGGGAGCAAACAGGAUUAGAUACCCCAGUAC